rnacentral:rRNA from 1 species
GACGAACGCUGGCGGCGUGCUUAACACAUGCAAGUCGAACGGUGAAGCGCCUUCCUUUUUGGUGGGUGUGGAUGAGUGGCGAACGGGUGAGUAACACGUGAGUAACCUGCCCCCUUCUUCUGGAUAACCGCAUGAAAGUGUGGCUAAUACGGGAUAUUCUGGGUCUGUCGCAUGAUGGGUCUGGGAAAGAUAUUGUUUCGGUGGGGGAUGGGCUCGCGGCCUAUCAGCUUGUUGGUGGGGUGAUGGCCUACCAAGGCGGUGACGGGUAGCCGGCCUGAGAGGGUGGACGGUCACACUGGGACUGAGACACGGCCCAGACUCCUACGGGAGGCAGCAGUGGGGAAUAUUGCACAAUGGGCGCAAGCCUGAUGCAACGACGCCGCGUGAGGGAUGGAGGCCUUCGGGUUGUGAACCUCUUUCGCCAGUGAAGCAGGCCUGCCUCGUUUGUGGGUGGGUUGACGGUAGCUGGAUAAGAAGCGCCGGCUAACUACGUG